AUUGAACGCUGGCGGAAUGCUUUACACAUGCAAGUCGAGCGGCAGCGCGGGGCAACCUGGCGGCGAGCGGCGAACGGGUGAGUAAUGCAUCGGAACAUGUCCAUGUCGUGGGGGAUAGCCCGGCGAAAGCCGGAUUAAUACCGCAUACGCCCGAGAGGGGAAAGUGGGGGACCGCAAGGCCUCACGCGAUUGGGUUGGCCGAUGUCCGAUUAGCUAGUUGGCGGGGUAAAGGCCCACCAAGGCGAUGAUCGGUAGCUGGUCUGAGAGGAUGAUCAGCCAAGCUGGGACUGAGACACGGCCCAGACUCCUACGGGAGGCAGCAGUGGGUAAUUUUGGACAAUGGGGGCAACCCUGAUCCAGCCAUUCCGCGUGAGUGAAGAAGGCCUUCGGGUUGUAAAGCGCUUUUGUCCGGAACGAAACGGUUACGGUGAAUACCCGUGACUACCGACGGUACCGGAAGAAUAAGCACCGGCUAACUACGUGCCAGCCGCCGCGGUAAAAC
rnacentral:rRNA from 1 species